rnacentral:rRNA from 1 species
UAGAUACCCUGGUAGUCCACGCCGUAAACGAUGGAUGCUAGCUGUUAUAGGUAUCGACCCCUGUAGUAGCGAAGCUAACGCGUUAAGCAUCCCGCCUGUGGAGUACGGUCGCAAGACUAAAACAUAAAGGAAUUGACGGGGACCCGCACAAGCGGUGGAGCGUGUUGUUUAAUUCGAUGGUAAACGAAGAACCUUACCCAGGUUUGACAUCCUUGGAAUUUUGCCGAAAGGCGAGAGUGCUUUAUUGAGC